rnacentral:tRNA from 1 species
CAGGAAUUAGUUUAUUAAAAAUAUUGGUUUUGGGAACCAAUGAUAGAAUUUUUCUAUUCUUGA